GGGAUGCCCUAGUAACGGCGAGUGAAGCGGCAACAGCUCAAAUUUGAAAUCUGGCUUCGGCCCGAGUUGUAAUUUGCAGAGGAUGUUUAUGGUGCGGUACCUUCCGAGUUCCCUGGAACGGGACGCCACAGAGGGUGAGAGCCCCGUCUGGUUGGAUACCAAACCUGUGUUAAACUCCUUCAACGAGUCGAGUAGUUUGGGAAUGCUGCUCUAAAUGGGAGGUAAAUCUCUUCUAAAGCUAAAUACCGGCCAGAGACCGAUAGCGCACAAGUAGAGUGAUCGAAAGAUGAAAAGCACCUUGAAAAGGGGGUUAAACAGUACGUGAAAUUGUUAAAAGGGAAGCGUUUAUGACCAGACUUGUGUCGUGUGGCUCAUCCGAGGUUCUCCCCGGUGCACUCCACACGGCUCAGGCCAACAUCGGUUUUCGUUGGGGGAUAAGAACAGCAGGAACGUGGCCCUUCUCGGAGGGUGUUAUAGCCUGCUGUACGAUACCCUGAUGGGGACCGAGGACCGCGCUUCGGCUAGGAUGUUGGCGUAAUGGUCAUUAGCGACCCGUCUUGAAACACGGACCAAGGAGUCGUCCAUUAGAGCGAGCGUUUGGGUGUAAAACCCGCACGCGUAAUGAAAGUGAAAUUAGGUGAGAGCUUCGGCGCAUCAUCGACCGAUCCUGAAGUUUACGGAUGGAUUUGAGUAAGAGUUUUAACGGACGGACCCGAAAGACAGUGAACUAUGCUUGAAUAGGGUGAAGCCAGAGGAAACUCUGGUGGAGGCUCGCAGCGGUUCUGACGUGCAAAUCGAUCGUCAAAUUUGAGCAUGGGGGCGAAAGACUAAUCGAACUGUCUAGUAGCUGGUUACCGCCGAAUUCCCC
rnacentral:rRNA from 1 species